GUGGGGAAUUUUGGACAAUGGGCGAAAGCCUGAUCCAGCCAUGCCGCGUGCAGGAUGAAGGCCUUCGGGUUGUAAACUGCUUUUGUACGGAACGAAAAGACUCCUUCUAAUAAAGGGGGUCCAUGACGGUACCGUAAGAAUAAGCACCGGCUAACUACGUGCCAGCAGCCGCGGUAAUACGUAGGGUGCAAGCGUUAAUCGGAAUUACUGGGCGUAAAGCGUGCGCAGGCGGUUUUGUAAGACAGGCGUGAAAUCCCCGGGCUCAACCUGGGAAUUGCGCUUGUGACUGCAAGGCUGGAGUGCGGCAGAGGGGGAUGGAAUUCCGCGUGUAGCAGUGAAAUGCGUAGAUAUGCGGAGGAACACCGAUGGCGAAGGCAAUCCCCUGGGCCUGCACUGACGCUCAUGCACGAAAGCGUGGGGAGCAAACAGGAUUAGAUACCCGAGUAGUCC
rnacentral:rRNA from 1 species